ACAAAGGCUCUUUUAAGAGCCACCACACUUGUAUUUUAAACUGCUGU
rfam:Larimichthys crocea isolate SSNF unplaced genomic scaffold scaffold830, whole genome shotgun sequence.